rnacentral:lncRNA from 1 species
AGCCAGCCGUGAUGAUGGGUGUCAUAAUCCCAGAGAUACUCAGGAGGCUGAGGCAGAAGAAUCACUUGAACCUGGGAAGCGGAGGUUGCAGUGAGCCAAGAUCGCACCAUUGCACUCCAGCCUGGACGACAACAGCGGAACUCUGUGUGCAGAUCCACCAGGAAAACAGAGGAGUCUAUCUAGUGGGGGCACUUCUUCAUCUCCUCCUGCUGAGUGUGAGCAUACACUUGUGAAGAUGUGCAAGCCAGCCUUUCAUGCAUUUAUCUCCCUCCAUUUCAGACAACCAAUGUUUUAGUUGUCUGUUCCAAUUUUCUAUCAAACUAUUAUUCUGAGGAGGAGAUCUCUCUGCCCAUUGUUGGACAUUAUAGGCUAUAUUGCGUAUUUCUUGGCCUGAAGAAAUGUGAAUCUGCCAUCCAAAUUGGUGCAAUAUCUUCUAUUCCACUUCUUUUAUGGCAUUCUGAGUAUUUGCAUCUUCCACCAGCGUAAAAAUCCAUACUUCGGGAUUCGAUGAACUCUUGGAAAGCAUUUUCUGCAUCCUGCUGUUUGUGGAAGCAUUUUCUCCGCAAAAAGUUGUCAAGAUCCUUGAAGAAAUGGUAGACAAUUGGCUAGAGGUCAGGUAAAUAUGGCGGAUGAGGCAAAACUUCAUAGCCCAAUUCAUUCAACUUUUGAAGUGUUGGUUGUGCGAUGUGCAGUUGGUUGUUGUGGAGAAUUGGACCCUUUCUGUUGACCAAUGCUGGUCGCAGGCAUUGCAGUUUUCAGUGCAUCUCAUCGAUUUGCUGAGCAUACUUCUCAGAUAUAAUGGUUUCACUGGGAUUCAGAAAACAGUAGUGGAUCAGACUGGCAGCAGAUCACCAAACAGUGACCAUGACCUUUUGUUUUUUGGUGCAAGUUUGGCUUUGUGAAGUGCUUUGGAGCUUCUUCUAAGUCCAACCACUGACCUAGUUGUCACCAGUUGCCGUAUAAAAUCCACUUUUCAUCACAUGUCACAAUCCAGUUGAGAAAUUGUUCAUUGUUGUUGCAUAGAAUAAGAGAAGAUGACACUUCAAAAAUACUUUUUUUAAAUUUUUGCUCAGCUCAUUAAGAACCCACUUAUUGAGGUUUUUCACCUUUCCAAUUUGCAUCAAACGCCGAACGAUCAUAGAAUGGUCAAGUUGAGUUCUUCAGCAACUUCUCCCGUAGCUGUAAGAGGAUCAGCUUCGAUGAUUGUUCUCAAUUGGUCAGUGUUAACUUCUGAUGGCUGGUCACUACACUCCUGGUCUUCAAGGUUCAUGUCUCCUUUGCAAAACUUCUUGAACCACCACUGCACCGUAUGUUCAUUAGCAGUUCCUGGGCCAAAUGUGUUGUUGAUGUUGUGAGUUGUCUCCACUGCUUUACAACCCAUUUUCAACUAAAAAAAAAUCAUUCAAAUUUGCUUUUUGUCUAACAUUAUUUCCAUAGCCUAAAAUAAAUAUGAA